GUGGCUGCUGGUAUAUUAACAUCUACUUUGCUGCUGUGUGCAAAUGAAAAAUGUUUUAAAAAAAAGAAAGAAAGAAACAUAGGCUGCUUUCCUCUAAGAACUUUAAUGUGAAGAAACAGCAUAUCUGAAGCUUCAGGCAGAAUAGAAAUCUGCUCUCUUAAUACAGAUCAUCUAAUUUUCUUACAAAGAAAAGGCAAGUAUAUCUUACUACAUCCAAGUUUUAGAAAAUUACUUUUUUUCCCCUGAUUU